GUUUACUGGAAACAUCUGAGAAGACAAUCUGCCAAAGAACUAUAAUCGUUUGGAACAACAUGAUUCUUCGUAAAAGCACCAAGAUCUUCUUUAUGUUCAUGAUAUGCUCCUACAGCUACAUUCUCUUCUAUAUUAACAAGAUUAUUCAGAAACAUCCGACCAACCUAUCAAUAUUUCAACACUAUUUCAACAACAGAUACUUUCGCCAAAGCGAUGAACUGCAGGUAAAACAUAAUCGUUUAUAUUGAUUUCUUGCAUGGAGAAUAAAAAGAUGCCUCGGUUAGUGAGGAAUAGGGAUAAUUAGCUAGAUCAGGGGUUCUCAACCAUUUAUUAUUUACGGACACCAUUGAUUAAUAUUUUAUUCUUGUGAAUCCCCAUAGCCAUUCAAUUUUUCGAAACCUUUUGUAGAAGCUUCUUUCAAAAUUCCUAUUUUGUUUUUCACACAUUCACUUGUGUAGGUUGAACUAUGCAAAAUGUAAGAGAAAGAAACCUGGUUGUUUCUCGCAAUACACACCAACGCAUACAUCUAAACUAAAAUUUUUCAUGAGUCUUUAACAUACUAUCGUGGAUUCCCAAUUUACUAUUUUGUUACGUGAACCCCCACAAAAUCUUGUAUGGAUCCUCUAGGGCCAUAUGGACUCCGGUUGAGAACAACUAAGCGAGAUCGAGCUUAGUUCUUAGCUGGUACUUAGAUGUUUUAUUGAUGCUCAGAAGAAAAAGCUAGGCAAAAUCAACUUCAACAAGGACUGAAGUCAGAAGAUAAUGGUUCGUAAUAAUAUACUGUACAUAGGCGUAGGAGUGGUAAGUAGCUUGCUUACCAACCACAUGGUUCCGGGUUCAGUCCGACUGCGUGGCACCUUGGGCAAGUGUCUUCUACUAUAGCCUCGGGCCGACCAAAGCCUUGUUAUAUAUAUAUAUAUAUAUAUAUAUAUAUAUAUAUAUAUAUAUAUAUAUAUAUAUAUAUAUAUAUAUAUAUCAGAAAUACUAAAUUUCUAAAUCUCUCGUAGAGACAUGUACGGUGGUGGGGCGAUAGAAUGGUUGUAUACUGUCAAUCUAACACGAACGUGACAGUAGGGGGGACACCACCGCUGUUUUAGCCCUAGGAAGCAUCGACGCCUCCUGAUGGCUUUGACACAUUUUUCCUGUGUCCUUAUAUACAUUUUAUAUAAGGACACAGGAAAAAUGUUAGAUUGACAGUAUACAAGCAUUCUCUCUCUCUCUCUCUCUCUGUCUCUCUCUUCUCUCUCUCUCUCUCUCUCUCUCUCUCUCUAUAUAUAUAUAUAUAUAUAUAUGUAUAUAGUUAAUCAAAAUUAUUAAAGCAGGUGUGGUUGUGUAGAAAGUUUAUUCUCAACCACAUGUUUCCGAGUUCAGUCCCAAUGCAUGACAACUUGGUCAAGUAUCUCCUAUUGUAGCCUCGGGUCGACUUUAAAUGAAUCUGGUAGACUGAAACUGAAAGAAGACCGUCGUGUGUGUGUGUGUAUGUGUGUGUAUGCGUGUGUUUAUGCGUGUGUUUAUGCUUGUAUUUGUUCCCCACUUUUGCUUGAUAACCAGUGUUAGUUUGUUUCUGCCCCAGUUACUUAGCGGUUCGGCAAAAAAGACCCAUAGAAUAAAAAGCAGGCUUAAAAGUAAGUACUGGAGUCGACUUGUUCGAUGAAACUCUUCAAGGAUGGUUGCAGCAGAAUGUCUCAAAUGAAUAAAGUUAAGAGCAGAAAGCAAAUUAAUCGGUUUAUCAAUUAGUUUCCCUGAAAAUAAUAAUUUCUUACAUAGAAAUAAAACUAGGAAAUUGCGAGCAGGAAACAGACGAUUAGAUUGGACCCCAGUACGAGAGAGGUGCUUAAAAUUACAGACACCGAAAGGGUGAAAGCAAAAUGCCAACUUAAAUUCCAACUUGUCCACAUAGGUGGAACUUGAACUCAGAAUAUGAAAGCCAGAAUAUGCCCUGUGUGGCAUCUGCCAAUCUUGUAUUUUUAAAAAAAUUUAUGCGCCCUUUUCAAGCCUAGCCAGGCUCAUGGGCCCGGUUUCCCGGUUUCUAUGGCGCAUAUAUAAAUCCCCCAGCUGGAUGGGACACCAGUCCAUCGCAGCGUUACUCAAGAAACAGAAAGAAAGAGUGAGAGAAAGUUGGGGCGAAAGUGUACAACAGGGGUCGCCCCCCCCCCUGCCGGAGCCUCGUGGAGCUUUUAGGUGUUUUCGCUCAAUAAACGCACACAACGCCCGGUCUGGGAAUCGAAACCGCGAUCCUCUGACCGCGAGCCCGCUACCCUACCCACUGGGCCAUUGCACCUCCACAUCAGCCAAUCUGCCGCCCUAAUUUUCAUUGAAAAUUAGUCUUUAAUUCUUUCUACUAUUUGAACAAGGCUUGAGAGUUUGGAGGAGGAGGAGGGUGAUGGUCGAUUACGUCGAUCGCAGUGCUCGACUGCUACAUAUUUUAUUGAUCCCGAAAUGAUUAAUGGCCAAGUUAACCACAAUGGAAUUUAAACUCAGAACGUGCAACCGGAAGAAAAGCCGCUAAGCGUUUUGUCGGGUGUGCUAAUGAUUCCGCCUGAUAACUGUCUUGUUUUCAUUGAAAAUAAUAAAAGCAGAAAUAAAUCUUGAUUUUAAAGAAAACUUUAGGAAAGUAAGUCGCGUUUGACAUUUAUGAAGCAAACUUGAUACUUGUUAAAAGUCAAGUUCGGCAAAAAAUCUUACUACUUGUAACAAUAAUUGAUUUACUUCUAAUAUAUUUAAUGUAACGAGCGUUGAAAGUCUAAUUAUAAAUAAUUAAGUGGCGUUGGAAAGAUUUCAUUAACUCAAUGACUGCGGUAAUUACGUCAGACAAUUGUGUACAUUUUUCGGUGAUAUUAGACCUCCCCAGUGAAGUAUAGAAUUCACGGUGUUUAUCUUUUAUCUUUUACUUGUUUCAGUCAUUUGAUUGUGGCCUUGCUGGGGCACAGCCUUGCAGAGUUUUAGUCGAGUAAAUCGAUCCCGGAACUUAUUUUUUUAAGUCUAGUACUUAUUCUGUUUGUCACUUUUGCGGAACCUCUAAGUUACAGAGACACAAACACACUAACACACACAUACCUGCACAUGACGAGCUUCUUUCAGUUUCCCUCUACCAAAUCCACUCACAAGGCUUUGGUCGGCCCGAGACUUUAGUAGAAGACAUUUGCUCAUGGUGUGACGCAGUGGGACUGAACCGGGACCGUAUGAUUGGGAAGCAAGCUCCUUACCACAUAUCCAUGCCUAAAACAAAGGAUAAGGUUCCCGCAAGUCUGGAACACAUGACCUUCUGCCUAUUAAACAGUUGUGCUAACCACUACACUACUUGCUGAAUUAGUGAUGAGAACGUUAUUACGUGGAUGUUUAGGAUAAUUCAGAACUCUCUUUAUCAUUUAAAUGACGUGUAUAUUUUGUUGUUAUUUUGGUUAUAUAAAUAUAUUAAAAAUUAUAUUAGCUAUUUUGCCUGGAAUAUCUAUUGAUGUAUAUAUCUUAGAAAAAUGCCAUCAUCAAAAGAGGAGAAUGUUCUGCUAAUUCUUUCUACUAUAGUUACGAGGCCUGAAAUUAUAAGGGAAAGGCUUGUCAAUUACAUCGACCCCACUGCCCAGCUAAUACUUAUUUUAUCGACUCCAAAAAGAUGAAAAGCAAAGUGGAACUCUUGAAAAGCCUGAAGAAAUGUUACGAAGUAUUUUGUUCGAUGCAUGAACAAUUCUGCCAGCUCACCCCUUAGUCAAUGUCCUAGUUAUGGUGCGGCAGUUUGGCCGAGAUCUCACUUUCUUUCAACGUUAUUUGCCACAAGCUCCCUGCACAUUAUAAAGAGAAACGUUACAUUAUUUUUCACCAUUGUAGAUAAUUGUCUUCUCAUUUAGCUUAACACAUUCCUUGUUCAAGGCAUUUUCAUAGAUUCUUAAAUGCCAGCUUGUCCACAUAGGUGGAACUUGAACUCAGAAUGUGAAAGCCAGAAUAUACCCAGUGUGGCAUCUGCCAAUCUUUUAUUAUUUCCUUUUUAUUUAUGCGCCCUUUUCAAGCCUAGUCAGGUUCAUGGAUCCUGUUUCCCGGUUUCUAUGGCGUAUGUAUUCCCCCCAGCUGAACGGGACGCCAGUCCAUCGCAGCGUUACUCAAGAAACAGGAAGAAAGAGUGAGAGAAAGAAAGUUGAGGCGAAAGAGUACAACAUGGGUCGUCCACCCAACCAUGCUUGUUUUUCAGACUUUUAGUUAACCUUUGUUUCAUACAUUCUGAAUAGUGUAAAGUCCAAAGUUACUCUGGUGGUCGGAAAAAAUUGGAAAGGUGAACCAUAUAUCAUGCAAAGACGCUAGGGAAAUGCAUUCUGUGUAUCAUAUGUGAUACAAAGGACCAGCAAAUGGUUAAGAGGGGGGGCCAAAGACUGACACUAAAAUUACGUUUCUUGUUGCCAAAUUAAGUCACGGUAGGAAUAAUAUAAUGUGUAUGGUGACCAGUGUAAAGACUAAUGACAAAGUAGUGGCGAGCUCCUUGUAUAUCGAGUACUGAAUUCGGUUUCAUUUGCCUUGGAAUUAUUUCAUUGCUGGUAAGUCGUUAAUUACCUUGAGUGAGGGGAAAUGUAUGAUCAUUGUGAAAGAUUCCAUCAAUUGUUCUUUAAUACAGGCGUAAGAAUAGAUGUGUGGUAAGUAGCUUGCUUACGAACCACAUGGUUCCGGGUUCAGUCCCACUACGCGGCACCUUGGGCAAGUGUCUUCUACUAUAGCUUCAGGCCGACAAAAGCCUUGUAAGUGGAUUGUGGAUUUGGUAGACCGAAACUGAAAGAAGCCCGUCGUAUAUAUAUAUGUGUGUGUGUGUGUGUGUGUGUGUGUGUGUGUGUGUGUGUGUGUGUGUGUGUGUGUGUGUGUGUGUGUGUGUGUGUGUGUGUGUGUGUGUGUGUGUGUGUGUGUGUAUGUGUGUGUGUGUAUGUAUGUAUGUAUGUAUGUAUGUAUGUGUGUGUAUGUUUGUGUGUCUGUGUUUGUCCCCUCAACAUCGCUUGACAACCGAUGCUGGUGUGUUUACGUCCCCGUAAAUUAGCGGUUCGGCAAAAGAGACCGAUAGAAUAACAAGAAUAAGUCAUGGGGUCGAUUUUCUCGACUAAAGGUAGUGCUCCAGCAUGGCCACAGUCAAAAUGACUGAAACAGGUAAAGGAGUAAAAGAGUAUAUCUCUGCUGCUUCAUUCCAACGCAAAAGCUGUUUUUCAAAUCAGGCAAACAUUAUCUGAGACAGAGCCUGAAAAAAGCCUGAUGUCUAAAGGAAUGAUAUCAAUGGUUUCCUACCGACUCACCACCAUUUUAUCAACAGUCAUCCAAUUUAUGAUUUAAUUAUCCUUUACAUGGUUCAGUCAUUGGACUGCGGCCAUGCUGGGGUACUACCUUGAAAGGUUUUAGUUGAACAAAUCGCCGCCAAUACUUAUGCUAUUUUAAAGUUUGGUAUGUAUUCUAUCAGACACUUUUGCGAAUUGCUAAGUUAUGGGAACGUAGACAAACCAAUACCGGUUGUCAAGUUGUGGCUGGGUUGGUGGUGAUAAACACACACACACACACACACACACACACACACACACACACACACAUACACACACACGCGCACACACACACACACACACUCACACACACAAAACAGGCUUCUACACAGUUUUCGUCAGCCAAAUUCACUCACAAGGCAUUGGUCGGUAUGAGGCGUUAGCCACUACACACAUUAUUUUCUCUCCUUGUUUUUUCUGUGUCCCUUUCUGUAGAAGAGCGUAGGCUCGAAACGUAAAAGACUUUUUCUAUUCUUGAGCGUUAUACUUAUACAGCUGUUUGUUUUGUACACCUCGUGUCUUCGUCUUUUGUUUUUUUCGUAAACUCUCCCUAUAGUAGAAGACACUUGCCCAAAGUGCUGCGUAGUGGGACUGAACCUGAAACCGUAUGUGGUUGCAAAACGAACUUGUUAAGCUUGUUAACCACACAACCAUAGCUGCACCUAUUGUUUUCUUUUAUAGCUUGUAUGCGUUUAUUAUUUUAGUAUUAUUAUGUUCUGGAUAAAAAUCCCUUAAACCUAUUAGGUGUGAUUAUUAUUUUCCUCCAUUUUCUGUAAGUAUGUUUGUGCCUCUUUUUGUUUUGUUUUAUUCUCCAUGUUCCUCAAUGCUGUCACUGAAACAUUCAUAAAUCUCAAUUUUCCUUCUACCUGUGAUAAUAAAUCAAUUUUCUUUCUUCCUAUUUUAGAAGCAAAUAACUUUAAAGCUGUCAACUUCGUGUAAAGAAAAACAAAAUUUGGUAUUUAUAAAAUGUAUGAAAUGUGCGACCGAAACAAUGGCUACUGUGAUACGACGAUUUGGUUACACAAGAAAUUUAUCGUUUGUACUUCCAGUUGGCACCCAUAUUUAUCUUGGUUGGCCAUACUUGAUGGAAAAAAUAGACUAUCGGCCACCUUUCUGCAAGAACUGUAGUACUCCCUACAACAUCCUGAUGGAACAUUCAAUUUACAACCGUUCUAUUAUGCGAUCUCUAAUGCCUAAAGACACUGUAUACAUCACCAGUAUCCGAGAACCGUAUGAUCGCUUCUUAUCAACCUUCCAUUAUUUUAAAAUAAAAGAUUACGUGGUUUUAAACGAGACUGAUUAUGUUUCUCAAUAUUUGAACGACUAUCACAAGUAUGAAGCGAUUUAUAAAAGUAAAACCUUUUCUGAACAUUAUUGCAUUCCCCGAAAUUUUUCGCUUACAGAGAAUCUCAUGGCCCACUGCUUGGGCGUACCUCUCGGAUUUCCCGCGGGCAGGAAAUCGAUUGCGUCUUAUUCAACCGAAGAAAUCACGCGUUACUUGCAAGAUCUUGACAACGAAUUUUCCCUUGUAAUGAUCGUCGAAUAUUUCUAUGAGUCUCUUAUUUUGCUACGACGUUUAAUGUGCUGGAAAACGAAAGACAUUAUUUUUCGCAAAGUCAAUAUAGGUGGCUACCGUAAAACCGACGUUUCGAACAACAGACAAACAGAACAAAACCGACAGCUAUAUAAGUCUUACAGUCGGAUAGAUUACAUUUUAUACGACCAUUUUAAACGAGCUUUGUUGGAAAAAAUUAAACAACAAACGCCGGAUUUUUUCGAUGAAGUAAAUCACUUCAGAAAAGUCCAGGCUGAAGUGACUGAAUUUUGUGAUAAUUUUUAUCAGAAUAAAUCGACGAAAAAAUGUAUUUCUGUAAAUCAAACUUCCUGGAACAAUGCUUUUAAUUAUACUGGUGAGGACUGUAAAUUAAUGUAUACUAAUCUAUUGACGGCUAUGCAAAACCGUUACGAUAGCGUAAUGGGUAAAUUAACGGUUUUACCACAAAGCACUGAUCGAAGAACCUGUUGAUAUGCAGUUUUAUUGAGAGAAAUCAAUAGUUAUUUGAUGUUAUUAUGUUCACAUCGAAGCAAAUAAUAUCAUUUACGAAAACUAUCAAGUAGGAAUAUUGAAAAAAAAGAACAAGGAAUUGUUGCGGUUUUGAAUGCUUUAAUAAUUUAAUUAAGUUAAGAUAUUAUUUAUUUAUAUGAAGUUAUAUCAUGCAUUUGUAAGUUAUAAAUCUGAAAAUGGACUAAUCAUUGGUACACUACGGAUGGUGAACACGACAAGCGAUUUCAUGCGCAAAUCGUGCGGAAUAUACCGGACACAGAGUAUUUUCAUUCGGAUGAAGUGGUUUCUCAGCGAAGCGUAUAUCAUUCACUGAAUUAUAUGAAGUAUAGAUACAGACGCACGCACGCACACA
rnacentral:lncRNA from 1 species